GCUAUAUUAGUAGACAGAGAGUAACCUGAUGUUUCACGGAGUAACUGGCCCAGGAAUCUUGGUGCUGGCCAGGUCAUAUUUAUACCACUCUGUAGCACAAGGUUCCAGGAGGGACCUUGAUAAACUAGAGUUCAUCCACCAGAGGAGGAGGCUGCAGGCCUUGGGCACUGCUCAGCAGGAUGAGGGGCCACUGCAGUUGAGCAUGUCUAGCCUGGAGUCUUCUGAAGAACAUGAUUAUUGACUUUAUGUAUAGGAAUGGCUGCCAAUGAAGAAGAGGUCACACAAAAACAGGAUUUGGCCCCAGGCUGCAGUUUGCC
rnacentral:lncRNA from 10 species